UACAGAGGGUGCAAGCGUUAAUCGGAAUUACUGGGCGUAAAGCGUGCGUAGGUGGUUUGUUAAGUCAGGUGUGAAAUCCCCGGGCUCAACCUGGGAACUGCGCUUGAUACUGGCAGACUAGAGUGUGGUAGAGGGUAGUGGAAUUCCCGGUGUAGCGGUGAAAUGCGUAGAUAUCGGGAAGAACAUCAGUGGCGAAGGCGGCUACCUGGACCAACACUGACACUGAGGCACGAAAGCGUGGGUAGCAAACAGG
rnacentral:rRNA from 1 species